CUCAAAGGCCAUAACACCCUGAAGGUGCUCAAUCUCGUCUGAUCUUGGAAGCUAAGCAGUGUCGGGCCUGGUUAGCACUUGAAUGUGAGACCAUCUGGGAACCGGUUGCUGUAGGCU
rnacentral:rRNA from 1 species